GCCCGAUUGGCAGAGUUGGUCAGCGCGUGAGACUUUUAGUAAUCAAGCUGCGAGAUAUCUCGAGGUUAGGAGCUCGAAUCUCCUAUCGGGCG